UCCGAUUUGUCACCGGCGGUCUCCCUAGAGUGCCCAACUGAAUGAUGGCAACUAGGGACAAGGGUUGCGCUCGUUGCGGGACUUAACCCAACAUCUCACGACACGAGCUAACGACAGCCAUGCAGCACCUGUGUUCCGGUUCCCUUUCAGGCACAGCCUCCUCUCGGAAGCCUUCCAGACAUGUCAAGGGUAGGUAAGGUUGUUCGCGUUGCAUCGAAUUAAUCCACAUAAUCCACCGCUUGUGCGGGUCCCCGUCAAUUCCUUUGAGUUUUAACCUUGCGGCCGUACUCCCCAGGCGGUCGACUUCACGCGUUAGCUUCGUUACUGAGAGUGUCAAACCCCCAACAACCAGUCGACAUCGUUUAGGGCGUGGACUAC
rnacentral:misc_RNA from 1 species